AAAUCUUCUCGGCCUUUUGGUAAGAUCAAGUGUAGUAUCUGUUCUAAUCAGUGUGAAAACAGGUUUUCCUCAGUUUUGGGGAUCUUUUCACAUUCAUUUUUGGACUUUUCGGGAAACCUAGCUUGCUAGCGUUACUUGAAACGGUCUCCGGGGGAUUUCACCGCUACCCCCGCGAGGCCAACUACCU
rnacentral:snRNA from 1 species